GCACGACCUGGGUGACAUCGCCGGAGGAUCCGAUACUGAAGUACAAGUGGAGGAAGCAACAGACGGGGAUGGAUCAUCUCUCCAGCCGCUGGAGAGACCUCCACCUCGCAGAUGGUGGUACAGCCGAUGGGGAGCGACAGCAGGCAAGACCCUGACAUAAGGCUCUGCGUCGAAGGCUAUGCUUUGGUGGAAGACGACGACGGUGCUUGACGAUUGGCCGAUGGUGCUCGCUUCUUUCUUCAGAUCCAUUGCUGAUUCUCAAAGACUCGCGCACAGGUCGACGCCUUCGCUGGUAGCUACUGCUGGGGAGAAGAUGGUGGAAAACGCAAGCAGAUGUUGCUACUAAUUAAGAUAGAGAUGUUGUGAUGCCACCUUCAUUGGCCGUGAUGCUCAGAAUUCCAUGUUCGCUGCUGGUGGUCUCUGAUCCUGACAUUUAGCCGUGCAUGAUUCUUCAUUUACAAAAAAACACUAAUAUAGUGACGCCAAUUAUACUGCUGAUCUCCAAGUCCCCCACCGCACCGCACAAGCUGACGUCUUCUCUGGUAUGUACAGAUCGAACGAACCUCCCUCUGUUUGUUCUCUACCCUCUGAUUUCUCACGUGCUACUCCAUUGACUGAUCUGUUAUUUCUUACAAAGACUUGCUAUAUGCACUGUGAUAUUUAUUACAUGUAGGCUGAAGUCUCCAAAACAGAGACUUGUUGAACUUCAAUGCGCCCUUGGGGAAUCUCGCCAUUGCUUAGCCGAAAAAGGCUUUCGCCCCGCUUUAUAUAUAAAGCAAAGAUCCACAUCAUCCGAUACAAAUGCACACCAACACCACACCCACCCAAGGCAGGAUACAAAAGCACUGAGCGCAGCAACACCACCCCUAGCACACUACCACGAAGAGAUGAAGCCGCAUACAACGGACCGUGGACUCCAAGCCGGUGCCUUCAGGAAGGAUACGACACCGGAGCGCCGCCACAGCCCGAUCCGAGGAUCAGAGUU